UGGGGGAAUAUUGCACAAUGGGGGGAAACCCUGAUGCAGCGACGCCGCGUGAAGGAAGAAGUAUCUCGGUAUGUAAACUUCUAUCAGCAGGGAAGAUAGUGACGGUACCUGACUAAGAAGCCCGGCUAACUACGUGCC
rnacentral:rRNA from 1 species